AGAGUUUGAUCCUGGCUCAGGAUGAACGCUAGCUACAGGCUUAACACAUGCAAGUCGAGGGGCAGCAUGGUCUUAGCUUGCUAAGGCCGAUGGCGACCGGCGCACGGGUGAGUAACGCGUACCCAACCUGCCUUACACUCUUGGACAGCCUUCUGAAAGGGAGAUUAAUACAAGAUGUUAUCAUGAGUAAGCAUUUUCCACAUGAUUAAAGGUUUACCGGUGUAAGAUGGGGAUGCGUUCCAUUAG
rnacentral:rRNA from 1 species